AGGAGAAAGAAAGCAAGUGUGAAAAUUCAAGGAAUUUGUACAUGACAAAAUAGGAGUUCUGGAAGAUUUUAUUUGAAAAAACAGCAGUUAUGCUUUGUUCCAUUUAACUGAAUUUCUGCAAUUCCAACUAUUGCAAAAUAAAUUUGAGGAAAUGUGGGCGUUGACACCAACUUUUGGUGUUCCUCUAAUUUUACUGGCCUAACAGCAUGCUGAAAUAUAGUAUAAAAGCACUGGAAUUUGUCACUUUGAUGGAGAGACCUAGAAGUUGUCUUUCAUCACUGUUUUUACUUGUUUACUUGUUACGUGUUCUUACUGUUCCUACAAAAAAUGAUUGUAAUUUUAACGGUAAAAGACUGUAAAAAUGCUACGGUGAAAAACAGUUAAUUGAUUUACAGAAACUUUUCGUACUAUAUACGGUGAAUAACUGUAAUAGAUCUAACCGUACAUUUAAUGUAAUUUUACAGUAAAAUACCGUUAAAUUUACAGUUUUUGGAAAAAACCGUAAAUUCACAUUCCCACAAUUCCCUGUGUGACACUUCACUUUUGAUGUAUUUUCGGUGAAAUAACUGUUUCUUCUUAGUUUUUUCUAACCAGUUAUGUACAUUAGGGUUUUUGUGUUACAUCUAAUGUUGUUAAAUUAAUGUUUAUUGCAUUUUUUUUUUUUUUUUUUUAAUUUCAUGUGUUACCAUGAUGGUGUUCAGUGUUUGUGUGAAUGACACUGUGUGCACCUUCUAUAUAUUAGUAUUGUCCUUCUCAGCUUUUGGAAAAGCUGCCUGUGAUGAGCUUUGGUUCACAAUGUGACUCUCAUCACUACUGUGUUUGGUGGUUGUCAGUGUAUUACAAAGGUACAAAACAGAUAGUACUUCAGUAGGUUGGUAAAUUAACAUUAUAUCGGUUGAUGAAAUACAUUUCUUUUACUGUAAAUUUAAGUUAAAUCUGUAAAACCUAAAAUGUUGCUACUGUAUUUUUUUACGGUAAAUUUCUGGCAACCACAGCUGCUGGGUUUUUUACCGUAAAUUUAAUGGAAUUUUUUUACAGUGUGUAAAAUAAACAGUUAUGAACCGUAAUUAUUACAAGCGCUAUCCCGUAAAACCUAAAAUGUUGCUACCGUAUUUUUUACGGUAAAGUUCUGGCAACCACAGCUGCAGUUUUUUUUACCGUAAAUUUUACAGGGAUUUUAAUUUUUUUUUUUUUUGGACAUUGUAGUCAUUUUAUAAUAUUUACGUCGGGUUUGCUGUUUUAUAUUUCCUGUUUUAGCUGAGUGGGCGUGGCCUUAAAGAGAGCGUGAACUGCAUGGGAGCGCUCAUUUGAGCUAUUUGUGGAAAUGUUUGUGCAAAUGUAUCCAUCCUAUUUACUGUACUUAUUGAUUUGUUUUAACGCUUGUUCUUAAUCAUCUCAAUCAAUGUAUUUAUUUAUUAAUCAUAUGGUGAAGCAAGCGGUAAUUUAAAAAAAAAAAAUGAUACGCUCCAAUUAGUAAGCGGGGAAAUGUGUAUUUAAGGCAGCCGUCAUUAGUGGAAGGAAGGAUUGAAAGACUGAUCAUAUUUUUUGAGAGAAUGUGAACUAGGCAGUGUUGAGGAAAGUUACUUUCAAAAGUAAUGCAUUACAAUAUUGCAUUACUCCCUUAAAAAGUAUCUAAUUGCGUUAGUUACUUUUUAUGGAAAGUAAUGCAUUACAUUACUUUUGCCUUACUAUUUCUCAUCAGGGCUGGCUUGUUUGUUUGUUUUCAUAACAAAAAAGUUAUAUUUUUGGCGAAUGUAAAGGCCGUUUCACACCAAAAGUGAAAUGAAUAAGCCUCAGGCUGAAGGAAAUGCACAUUCACGCCUGUACAGUAGAGGGCGCAGUUAAAAUAAACAAGCCUUUCAGCUGUGCUGCCAUUCUGGAAUACAGAAGAAUAGAUGCAGGAGAAGUAAAUGAGUAAAUGUAUGCUCACAUUUAGUCUAGAACUAGUCUAGAAUAACCAUCAUGUUUACACAGCGCACACAACGCCUCUGCACUUCUGAUUUCUCUCAACAUGGGGACAAGAGAGCUGUGAGUCAAUACAUUGGAAAACAAAGUAACUCGUUACUUAUUUGAAAAGUAACUCAGAUAUUUUGUUGUAAAUUCAAAAGUAAUGUGUUACUUUACUAGUUACUUGAAAAAAGUAAUCUGAUUACAUAACUCGUGUUACUUGUAAUGCGUCACCCCCAACAUUGGAACUAGGUCAUAGAAGCACUGCUUCAGCACACUGAAACUCUUUCCUCAGAUGAAUAGGAGAGUUUGUACUGUUGUAGUACAUAACAGUUCUAGUUUUUAGACUGUUUUUAUUGAUAACUUGUUUUAUUUCCCUUAACCAUAUUUAUUUGCACAUUUGCUUUAAUAAACACCUUUUUGGACUACAAAGUCGCUCCGGUUCUUACAUCAUGGUGUGAAUCUCUUUGUGACUGCUUGGGACCCUAUCACAAUCACGAUUUACACAACUCUGUUCAUUUGUGUUCACAGCAUUCCAGACAACAGUAUAGGAGCAGUGAGGGGUGGAAGUGGAAUGCAGUGUGGAUUUACGUUUUUUUUUUUUUUUUUUUCCUGGAGCGAGGAGCGUUUUUUUUUUUUUGAAAGUGCAUUUUCUCUCACUCAAAGUAUCUCUCUCUCACCAAUGAGCGUGGAACAAGUGGAAAAAUGGAAAACUGAAAUUGUAGCUGAAGCAGAGUGAUUACAGAACACAUUAAGUGGGAGGGUUAACUAAUGUUGCUCGAAUCCACUCACAUACUCCAGACCGUUUUUUAAUCUGUGCUGAUAAUCAGUAUAAUGCGAUAUUGCUUGAAGAGACAGUCCAUCAAAAAAUGAAAAUUAUGCCAUCAAUUACUCACCAACAUCAUUUAAAUUUGUACAAUUUAUUUUCUUCCACGGAAAACAAAAGAAAGUUCUUACCAACUUAAUUAAUGUCAAUGGGGUCCAAUUGACUUUCAAUAUAUGGACAAAAGCAGUGUUCCACAGCAGAAAGUAAAGGCUCAUUCAAGAAUGAUAACUACAAAGAUAAUUAUUAGCAUCCACACCAAUGCACAAUAAUGUUUUGUUUAUUAUAGCCGUGCAGUUAAGCCAUCUGUCACUCUAAAUGCUUGUGCUCUUUAAAAUUGUGUGGAUUCCGACUGGCUGCCAAUGUUUUUUUCUUCUUUUUUUUUAUCAUUUUAUUAUUCAUCAGCUGAAACUGACUCCAACGAUAUUGAUCCUUCAUGUCAUUUUUGUUAUAGCUGUGGUGUCUUCCCUAUUCUCAAAGAAGUUAUAGUUAUAGUCCUUGGUGUGACAAUCAAUGUAACAUUGUUCCAAAAGCCUUACAAUGGAUUUUCAAAAUACACUAAAGGCCCCCUAUACUCACCCCUAUAACUCUUAUUUCCUCAUAUACAUUUUUUUUUCGUUCUUCAUUAGGGGUAAAUAACAGUUAGAAAAACCUUUGCAGUGGUAUACUAUCAGUGAACAUCCCGACACCACCCACAUUGCUGAGAGCGAUGCAUAUGUAAAUAUGUGCUCCGCGCUUUCCUCACAAUAACAAAAAACUAAAACAGCAGUGAGAAACCGCAGUUAAAGGGUUAGUUCACCCAAAAAUUAAAAUUCUUUCAUUAAUUACACACAUGUUCUAUGUCCGAAUGCCAGCUCAGUAUUGGCCGGUGCUGUACACGUGAACACCAUGAUGCAUGCGCGUGAUGCUGACGCAGGAGCCGGCCAAUAAUGAGUCACCGUUCUGACGUAGAACACGGAAGCGCUGCACUGCGUUCACUACGUCAACUGUGUAAGAGACUGACGUGGCAGAGAAGAAAUUGUUGAAUAAAGUCAUUAUUUUUGUUUUUGCGCACAAAAAGUACUCUCUUGGAUUAAUAAAAUUAAGGUUCAACCACUGUAGUCACGUGGACUACUUUUACGAUGUCUUUAAUGAAGGAGUCAGAGAGCUCUCGGAUUUCAUCAAAAAUAUCUUAAUUUGUGUUCCGAAGAUGAACGAAGGUCUUACGGGUUUGGAACAACAUGUGUGAAUAAUUAAUGACAGAACUUUCAUUUUUGGGUGAAUUAACCCUUUAAGAAAGCAUCUGAUCAUAGCAAUUGGGGAUGUUUGCACAAGCUCUUCAAUUCGGCACUCCAGUCAAGUAAAGUCACGUUUAUUUAUAUAGCACUAUACAUAGAACCUUUUCCGGAAAGUCAGCUUUAGCAAGCUGAUUUGAACAUCCGAAACGAACUCCAAACAAGCUUCAUUUUGGCCUGAUUUUGUUCUAAAUUAGGCCGUAAAGCAGUGGUUCCCAACCCUGGUCCUAAAGUACCCCAUCACUGCACAUUUUUGAUGAAUUUCUUCUCUAACACACGUAUUUGAGUACUUGUAGUCUUUACUAACGAGCUGCUGAGUUGAAUCAGGUGUGUUUGAUUAGGAAGAUAUCUAAAAUGUGCAGUGCUGGGGCCCUGGGGGUACUCCAGGAUUGGGAAACACUGCACUAAGUCUUCAGUUCUGGACAUUCUGUUCAUUAAUAUAACAUAUUUUCAGUGAGCUGAUGAUUCACUGAGUCCUGUGGGCAAUGUAACCCAUCUGUUCAUCUCUCAUCUGUGCUGUCUUAAACAACCAAGCAGACAAGGCCUUGGUUGAAAUUCCUCCAAAUAAGCAAAGUGACUGUUUCAGCUUUGGAAUAAUUUGCUUUUCUUGAGGGAAUCUAGUUCUGCUUAUCUGAUGAAAACAGAUAAAAGCACAAAAAUAAAGUGUUUGCACAUGAUCUUCGCUAGGAGUGAGCUGCAGGCCAUCCCAUUGUUGUGAAUCCAUGGAAACAAGAUACAUUUAACCUAAUUAUACAAAAGCUCAAGCUUGAUUGUUGCUUACAAACACAGAUUAAUCAUAUGAAUAAACAGUGAGUGAUGAUAAAGUCAAGCAACAGGGAAGAAAAAAAAAAACCCUCUAAGGCCCAUGCCAAUGGUCAGCCAAUGGAGGACUGUUGUUGAGCAUUUGUCUACCCAGUUUUUGCAGUGUUCUGCACUGUUUGCACUAGUCUGACCCCAUCUGCGGCUUUUCAGCCGAUUAAGCGUGUUGAAUUGGCAUUGGCGAGAGAGAUCACUCUGAUUGGCUAUUUAGUUUCACGAACCAGUGUACAAGGAAAACAGAAGUAACAAUUGUUCUUAUUAUGUCUCCUUAUAUUUUGCCUCCAAUGUUGCUUUCUUGUACAAGAGGAAGACCAAAGACUGACAAUGCAUGUCGUUCCACACCCGUAAGACCUUUGUUCAUCUUUGGAACACAAAUUAAGAUAUUUUUGAUGAAAUCCGAGAAGUAUCUGACUCCUCCAUAGACAGCAAUUUAACCACCACUUUCAAGAAAGGUACUAAAGACAUUGUUUAAAACGUCAACGUGACUGCAGUGGUUCAACCUUAAUUUUUGAAGCGACGAGAAUGCUUGUGUGUGCAAAAACAAAAAUAAAGGCCGAUACUGAGUUCACGUGAGCAGCACGAUGCAUGCGUGUGAUGCUGAUGCAGGAGCCGGCUAAUAAUGAGUCAGCAUUCUGACGUAGACAGAGUAAGAGAAUGACACAGAAGAGAGGGCAUUGCUGAACAUUAUUUUUUUGUUUUGUUUUUGUGCACAAAAGUAUUCUUCAUAAAAUUAAGGUUGAACCACUGCAGUCACGUGGACUAUUUUAGCAAUGUCUUUAGUACCUUUCUUGGCCUUGACAGUGGUGGUUAAAUUGUUGUCUAUGGAGUAAGAGAGCUCUCGGAUUUCAUCAAAAAUAUUUUAAUUUGUGUUCCGAAGAUGAACGAAGGUCUUACGGGUUUGGAACGACAUGAGGGAAGACAACACACAGAUUUGACCUCUGCCACACAUAGUUAUCUUCACCUGCAUCAUCAGGUCAGCCUGUUAUCAGUGUGGGUUCAAGGACAGCCUCUAAACUGAAGACACCAUCCAUGUGACUUGCAGCUCAGCUACACAUGAGCAGGUAUUCAAUAGGAAAAGCACCAUUAAUAAUUUAACAUUCUACCAUGUUGCUUUCCAGACACUGCUCAUCCCAAUUUGUGAGCAUUUAGCACACAGCUUAACUUAACUCAAAGCUGUAGGCAAUACUCAAGCUGUUCCUGUGAGAAGACAAAUGAAAAUAGACCAGAGGUUUUGAUUUGGUGUCCUCGUCUACCAGAUUCAACUUCGUAUAGGUGAAGAAUGCACAAAGUACACCAAAUGUGACAAUGCGGAAUUAAGGAAUGUCUUAAAUGUCAAAUACAUUGACACACAAAAAGAAAACUGAUUGUGAAAGUGAAGCUUACCUAACCAUCACUUAAAGGGGUAAUGAAUUUAGAAAUCAACUUUUCCUUGAGCUUUUGAUAUACAAGUGGUCAUCAUACUAAGUUUCAGAACUGAAAACUUCCUUGUUAGUCCAAUAAAAGAUUUUAUUGACAUCAGGCCCAUCGAACGACUGAUCCUGGAAUGUGCCUAUGUCAUAGAUAGGUGAAACGCCACAUCCUCAGAAGAAAUCAACGCCUAUUUCAUCAUUGCAAUGUUAGCCCCGCCCACUGGCAUGUUAGUGAGAUGACGAGGAGAGAAAAGUGAUACAGUACUUAAAAUAACAUGACCUUUCAAAGGAUCCUAAUGCUAGGAAUAUGGUUAUUUAUUUUCAACAAUGUGAAUGCCUCAUUUGAGCAUAAUUUAUUUGUAUUCAGUACAUUUCACUGUGGAUGUUUUUUUUGUAAAUCAAUCGCAUUUCGGCGUAGGCUUUGCAAACACACUUUUACGAUAUGGACUCAACAGUAAUGCAACAACAUGUAAGUAACUGUUAAUUCUAAUGCCUGAUAUGUAAGAUUCAUGUACAGUCAGAUGUUCUUUGUCUAUGUGUCAGUAAAUCAAACCAGUAAAUAAAUGGUCAACUUCA